rnacentral:piRNA from 1 species
UAUCCCACAGGUGAGGAUGUAGACAU